ensembl:lncRNA
UAUUAAUGUUGCAUAUGCUUUGAAAACCAUGAAUGGUAGUCCAAGACAGCAGACAGGACAAAAAUAAGAUCACUUGAAAACGUAAAGAUCCUCCGAAAGUUGAUAUAGCAUCUACUCAGUAUAAAUUAAUAUUUAGAGUUGAAAUGUUGCAAAUGGAGAAAAAAAAAGGCAAUGAACAUGUUUUUGAAGGCUGUGAAUGAAGAAAGAUGCUCUUUGCAGCAAGACGGUGUAGUUACGACAUCGUCCAGCAGGGGCUAAAAUAGACCUCACUGACCAGCUAAACCUCAACCACUUAACAACAACAACAACGAGCUCAGCAGCUUCACUCAUUACUGUAGUUCACACAUAAUUUCCUGAUUUCACACAUAACGCCUCUCAGCAUCAUACAGACGGUUUGUCGACUGUAGAGUUUGAUUCUCACCACAGGAGACCAGACGCAAACACACUGUCAACAUUUGCUUCUGUGUUUUUGUUUGUUUGUUUGUUUUAUAGUCGAGUCAUUCGUGGAGCUGCUCUCUGUCACUCGUGUAUCUGUCAAACCCUAAGAAUGAGCUUCUCACCAACAGUCUCUGUGUUUCCACUGAUGGUGAGCAGUUCAGUGUCUGUGUAUUAUAGUGAGAGGAACAGAGGGAGGACAAGUGAUAAUGAAUUGUCCUUAUGCUAAAUAUAAACUAAUCCAGCUGAAUGUGAUCAGAGCUCCAAAGAAAACAAGGCCUGUCCAGAUCUCAACCACCACCCUCCAUCCAGGUUCAUUUGUGAUUAUCAUCACUGCGGAGGCUUUGCUUUUACUCCUGAUAGGACUUCCAUUGAUUAUAGUGGCUGUAUGGAAGAAAAAGAAGAAUAAAGGUCUGCUGUCGUCCUCCGUCGAAGAGUUUAAUCCAGUGAUUUAUGAACAGAUCAAAGACGCUGGACGUCAGUGUAAUCCAGAGGACAGAGACACAGAAACAACUGUAGUUUACAGCUGUGCUUCCUGAACUUGUGUCAUAUGUGACUCUACAGACCCGUCAGUGAGACUCGAGCAUCUCUUCAUCAACUCCACAACACAAACCAGUUCAAUUCAACUAAUAUAAUAUAACAUCAUAUGUAAUAUGAUACUAAAUAUGUAUAGUUUGGCAUCAUGUUGCAUGAUUUUGCAGUGGGCAGAAUUCAGUAAGGAGACAGCUGUAUGGAAAAAGCUGUACCUGAGUCUGCUGGUCCUUGUCCGGAGGCUCCUGAAGCGCCUCCCAGAGGUCAGGCGGUUAAACAGUGUAUGGUCAGGGUGAGAGGAGUCCUUGAGAAUGCUGCGAGCUCAAGUUCAGCGGUCAGCUUGGAGGGAAUGACAGUGUUAAAUGCUGAGCUUAAGUCAACAAACAACAUCCGUACAUAUGUGUUGUUAUUGUCCAAGUGUGUGAGUACCGAGUGCAGCACUGUGCAUACUGCAUCCUCUGUGCUCCUAUUGCUAUGGUAGACAAAUUGGUGUGGGUCCAGUGUGGGUGGGAUUCACGAUGUAACUGAAAAUCAGUCAUAACUGAGUUCAUUUUGUUGGCUUUGCUCACAGUAAUUGUUGUUACAAUUUUUAAUUGUAUGUUUACAGCUAAAAUGCAUAAAUAUGGAUCAUUUGAAUGUACCAAUUUCUGAAGCUGAGUCUCAUAAGUUGCAAUCUGCAGCUUAAUGGACAAAUUAAACCAUGCUAUUCUGGAACUGCAUUUUGAUAUUGAUUUUAUUUUAUGUAUGUGUGGUGUAUGUAGCAUUUUCUUGUUGUAUGUUGAGCUCAAGGUUUGUGUGGUUAGUUUGAUCUGUUCAGUUCUGCUGGUAGAUGCUGUAACUGCACCGAUCUGAUGCCGAAGAGCAUCUUUCUACAUUUACUGACAUUCAAAGUAGCUUUAUAGUCAGAUAAAUCCUUGCAAGCAACUUAUAACGGAGGCUCCUAAAAGCAAAAAGUGUUGAGGACUUUUAGAGUAAAAUGCGUUGUUGAAUUUUAGCGGAUUAACACUAGCUAGUGUAAACAGCAUUCUCUGCCCGGUGUAAAUACACAGAGUUACCUUUUUGAGUGUUAUUAGUCACAUCCGGGACAUUUGCUCGUGUACGCGCCUGACCCAUCUGAAAUAUUUUUCACAGACGCCAUUUUAUUUGCUUGAGAUGCGGAGCAUUUAAGGGCGGAAAACGGUGAAAUAAAGUGUUUAAUCUUACUCA